GAGUUUGAUCGUGGCUCAGGAUGAACGCUGGCGGCGUGCCUAAUACAUGCAAGUCGAGCGGUAAGGCUUCCACUCCGUGUUUAAUGAGUUUGAACAUGGUGUGGAAGUACACGAGCGGCGGACGGCUGAGUAACACGUAGGAACGGUACCCCAAAGUGAAGGGGAUAAGCACCGGAAACGGUGUCUAAUACCACAUGUGAUCUUCGGAUUAAAGUCUUCGGCGCUUUGGGAACGGCCUGCGCAUGAUUAGCUUGUUGGUGAGGUAAUGGCUCACCAAGGCGACGAUCAUUAGCUGGUCUGAGAGGAUGAUCAGCCAGA
rnacentral:rRNA from 1 species